rnacentral:rRNA from 1 species
GAUGAACGCUGGCGGCGUGCCUAAUACAUGCAAGUCGAGCGAACAGACGAGGAGCUUGCUCCUCCGACGUUAGCGGCGGACGGGUGAGUAACACGUGGAUAACCUACCUAUAAGACUGGGAUAACUUCGGGAAACCGGAGCUAAUACCGGAUAAUAUAUUGAACCGCAUGGUUCAAUAGUGAAAGACGGUUUUGCUGUCACUUAUAGAUGGAUCCGCGCCGCAUUAGCUAGUUGGUAAGGUAACGGCUUACCAAGGCGACGAUGCGUAGCCGACCUGAGAGGGUGAUCGGCCACACUGGAACUGAGACACGGUCCAGACGCCUACGGGAGGCAGCAGUAGGGAAUCUUCCGCAAUGGGCGAAAGCCUGACGGAGCAACGCCGCGUGAGUGAUGAAGGUCUUCGGAUCGUAAAACUCUGUUAUUAGGGAAGAACAAAUGUGUAAGUAACUAUGCACGUCUUGACGGUACCUAAUCAGAAAGCCACGGCUAACUACGUG